AAAAAUUAAAAAAAAAAAAAAGAGAUCUUUUUGAGUAAAAGUGGGAAAUUUAAUAUAUAUCUUACAGAAAACAAACAACUUUCAAAGAUUUUUCGUUUUUAAAGAGGGGGGAAACAAAUCUGCUUGGUUGCAGAGAAAUCGCGAGAAAAUGAAAUUUCAUGACUUCAAGUCCGCAUAAAUAGAAUAUCAAUUUGCAAAAUGGAACUUUAAAAAAGAAGUCACCGAAUCAAACUACUCAUAGAGAGCAAAAAAAUUAAAACUUUUCAUUUCCUUUGAUACGCAUACGCCACAGAGGAAGCAACAGAGGACUAAAAAUGAAGAAAAAUGAGAAAUCGGAAGCGGACCUAGAAGCAACGGAUCAUGGCCGAUACGAAACCGAGAGACCCGAUCCGAUGUGUCCGGAAAACUGCUUUUCAGUAGAGUAGAAGAGCAUUUAAUUACAAUCUCUUCCAACUUUGAAAUUGAUGGACCUUAGCUACUCUUGUAGCCUGACCAGGGUUCCGAACUUGUCUAGCAUUGCCCCAGAUCUCGAGUUUUUGUAUUUGAAUGGCUGUCCUAGUUUGGCUGAAAUUCCCUCUCUUCAAAAUCUAAG
rnacentral:misc_RNA from 1 species